GCCUCUCCUAAGACUCAACCCAGCCUAACGGUAAGCAUGGAGGCAGAGCUAUUUGGGAGAGAGGAUGCCCCCUGGGUUUCAGGCCAUACAAGAAUUUCAUAUUUCUUAGCAAGGAUUUCGUAACACCCCAGCCUGCACUGGCAACUGCCACUGAAAAAACAUCUACCCAAAAAAAUAUUUGGAUAAGCAUCCAAACCUUUGGACGUGUGUCAAGACCAAGCCACUGAACCUGGACGUUCACCCACUCACUCUUAAGAGGUCAGCUUGACAUUUUGGGUCCUUCUCAGACUGCAGCUGCCAACAGUAGUUAGUACCUUUGGUCCCAGACUGGCAAAAUAGUAGUGCUUAUAAUUCACUGGCAUACUUGUAUUUAUUUAACCUGUUUGGAUGUCAAGAGACCUUCUUGGGAAGGGUCAGGCUUGGUUUUGAAAUUUCAGAAAGUGUUUAGUGGGUAUCCUUUCCUUGGACAACAUAGGAUGAAGCUAUGAUAUAUCUUGCUGGAAUUUUUAGUUGUUACUAUAACAUUGAGCAUUGAUUAAAU
rnacentral:lncRNA from 1 species